rnacentral:lncRNA from 1 species
ACCACAUAGUUCAUAUCAAGGUCAAGGGUGUUACAAAAGGUAAGAACAUGGUAAAUGGUGGAGAUAGAGUUUAUCAAAGGGAUACUGUCACGACCCGAAACUCCCAUCGAGCUAGUGACAACCGCCGCGACGUCCCGAUAAGCACUCAUUACCCCGAAUGCCGAUCGAAACCCCGCAAGGCUUAGCAUCAACUUUCGCAUCUCCCCGGUGAGCGACAGUUAUUAAAUCUCGCAUUUCAAGAAAACAUAAGUUGUUUCCAACUCAAAAUAAUAAAAUAUUAUUUUCUAGCUCACAAGGGCAUUUUCGUCAUUUUUUUUUUCAAAAAUACCGAAACUCGCCAAAAAUAUGGUGUAAAAGCUAAAUAUAUUCAUACAUACUUUAAAUCAAAUAACUAAAGAAUAAAAUUACUUUUACAGUGACACGUGGGCCCCCAAUUAACCAAGAAGGUGUAGAGCUACGAACCCUUACUUCCUAUGAUGCAACUCCGAGAUUAAUUUUCGUCUUAAUCAACUAUCAACAAACUGUCCUGAGCCUGAAAAAUGGAUAGGAAGAGGGGUGAGAUUAAAUAAUCCCAGUAAGUAAACAAUUACCAUCAAAAGCAUCUAAAGCCGAGUAGAUGGAGACAAUAUAAAAAUAUUAUAUCUCAAUAAUGUUCAUAACACAAAAUUCGUUUCAAUCUAUACCAAAUAAUUUCUUUUCAUCAAAAUUUCCCGACUUAUGAAUUUCUUAAACUUGGCCCCUGCCAGAAUCAUUCUCACGGGUACCUUCGUCAAGGUAUCCCACUAAGACCGCCAAGGCUGUUCAAUG